GACGAGGGAUCCUAGCGUUGCUCGGAAUCAUUGGGCGUAAAGCGGGUGUAGGUGGCUUUGUAAGUCGGGGGUGAAAGCCUGUGGCUCAACCACAGAAUUGCCUUCGAUACUGCAUGGCUUGAGACCGGAAGAGGUAAGUGGAACUGCGAGUGUAGAGGUGAAAUUCGUAGAUAUUCGCAAGAACACCAGUGGCGAAGGCGGCUUACUGGUCCGGUUCUGACGCUGAGGCGCGAAAGCGUGGGGAGCAAACAGG
rnacentral:rRNA from 1 species